GGGAGGGCCUAAUAAUGAUGUCUCUGAGAACUGCCAUGGCCUCCCUCUAAACAGCUUUCCUUACAUUGACCAGUUUUGAGAGUCCCUUUACCAGUCACCUGCAGAUACAUCUUUCUAAAGAAUGAAUCCUUCUCAUUGGAGACCAGAAGAGAUCUGCAGUUCCAUGAUUAAUAAACAUCAUUGCAAGAUAUCAAAACAAAAUGUAAACGUGUGAAUGGAAUAAAUAUUUUAGGACAGUGUUAUGCAAGCAACUUCUUUCAUAGACGGACUUUGAAGGAGAGGUCUGAAAUUUUGAAAAUCAUAUUUGACAUUUUUGGGAUUCUGACUAGAAUCAACUCACAACUGUUUGGGAUUUUCUUAGCAAUUAACCAGUUUGUGAACAGAGCUGAAUUCAUCACAUGCUCUGCCAUCUACAUUAAUAUUGCUACAGAGAGGAAAAUGUAUGCUAAAACUCUUCAUCUGAUUUUUCAAACAGCAUCCUCAUACCAUUGUGGACUUCUGUGCUUGUGGGAAGGAAAGUUUGAGAACACCAUUUGAGAAUUGGAAAUGCAGAAUUGGGAAAGGCCUGUGUGUAGAUCAUACACAACUUCACAAUAUUCAUUGCUUUAAUAAUCAUUAGGAAGUGGACUUCUGCAAAAUGAUAUCAGCAGAACAGCAUGGUAGAAAAUCAGUAAUUGAUUCACUGGAGAUUUAGAUGCACUGGAUUGUGAAACAUGGGCUUAGAGUUAGAGACAUGUCAGCACAUGAAGUAUGGAUAAUCCAUUCUGUGUGAUCUGUUAAGAUUCCAUACUUCAUGGUUUCAUGCAGACAGCAUCAUAAUUAAGCACUGAGGAAUAGAAUAAAAGCCAAUUUUCUGAAAAUCCAAGUCACAAGAAAAUACUGUCCUCCUCCAUGAUGCCCAUUAACUCCCAGGUGCACUGGCCUUCAACAUGCCUGAAUGACAGCUGUCAACAUGGGAUUUACUGCCACCCUUUUCAUAACAGCAGAGCUCCAAUCUCUUUCGGCCACGUCAUCAGCUACCCAUUCUGUUAUAGGGAGAUUAGAUCACUGUGUCUGCCUAUGAAGUCUUUGAUUACCUAUAAAGACCCAAGGGACUGUUCUAAGUCCAGUGAGGUAUUGUAAGUAAUCUUGAAUUGAAUUGGUGUUGUUAGUGGCUCUGAUGUCUACAAAUCCCAGAAGACCAUGCUUGAAAGGGAGUUGAUUGAGGACGUCUUCAGUAUUUCCGCAAUAGUGGAAGGUGGGCUCUAUGAACAGUAACAUCUUCCCAGACUGGGUCUUCCCAUGCCUAUACUCCUGAGCCGUGAUGUCAGGCUGCAGCUUCCCUGAAAAGAAGGUUCAGUUUAAGGUACUGGUCUAUUGAAAAAUGGCAAUCUCGAUGUACCCUUAACAAUGAAUUAUACUUGAAGUCCAUAGAAUAUGUGGAAGAAAGAAGCUUUUACUUUUUCUAGCUUGCACUCCCAUUGCUACCAAACCCUCACAGACAAUAGAAUCUGCUUACUGAAGAUUUAACAAUAUAAUAAUUACCAGAUGAGUCAUGUAGGCUUGUGGACUCAUCAUCUAUUGGAUUCUUGGACUUUCCAAAUAUCCAUCCAUUGUUAAAUUAUGUAGUCCACAGCCUCUGAUCCUUGUGCUCAAUCCAUUUUCUCUGUACAGAGAGAUUCAUCAUCCACUCUCUGUUACGAAACACCAGCUUCUACACCAGGAAUCUAGAGAAGACCUUUGAAGCAGUUUGUUUCUAGUAAGAGUUUUAGCUCAGUGGCCCCAUUCCCUUAGCACGAUUUUCAUGUGAUGCUUUGAUACAGUGCUUCUUAUUUCCUAUUGUUAUUGGCAAAAGAAUUCAAGUAGCAAAAGUAACCUAUCAAUGAAAUGCACAGUAAUAUAUUUGCAUGAGUGCAUCAGGAAGUAUUAUAGGAUAAACAAGAAUUGGAAAACUAGAUUUCCAUCCUUCUGUGGACCAAGACCAGGAAACCACAACUACAUAAAAAUCUGAGAAAAGUU